CCCGCGGCGCCUCCGGCUGGAAGAGGAGACGGGGCGCGCGAGGGAAGCGCGGGCUCGGGCGCGUCGCGCGGCCGCCGGGCGAUGGCGGCCGGGCCGGACUGCCCAGGCCGGCUGCUGAGGCGAGCGCGCGCCGCGGCUUGUGGGGCACAGGCUGGGAAACCGAGGCCCGCGCCGCCCAGGGUCCUCAGAAGGCCGGGCUGUGAGAAAUGAGCGGCCACCUGAGGACUGCGCGGGGCCCGCGAGCGCGAACUCGGCUCGGUGCCGCAGGACAGUGGUCCUGCUCUUGCUAUUCAUCAUCUACUGUAGAACAGCAUCGUAUUCAAGGAUGUAGACUUGGCUAAGAACCUUUUGAGAAAUCUUGGAAAUAAGUCUCCAUGAUGAGCAGAGGAGUGGGUCACUUCUAUUUUUCAACCAUAAAAGAAUGUGGCAAGCAUGAAGAGGGUGGAUAUUAGCUGGUGAAUAUAGAUCCUGGUGACACAUAUGGCUGAGCCACAAGCCUCCAGAAAAAAAGACAGUUGUUAUGACCUCUUCAGCUGCAGUUGAAAGUGAUUAAG